rnacentral:rRNA from 1 species
CCUACGGGGGGCAGCAGUGGGGAAUAUUGCACAAUGGGGGAAACCCUGAUGCAGCGACGCCGCGUGAGUGAAGAAGUAAUUCGUUACGUAAAGCUCUAUCAGCAGGGAAGAAACACUGACCUUACGGUCAGCAGACGGUACCUGAGUAAGAAGACCCGGCUAACUACGUGCCAGCAGCCGCGGUAAUACGUAGGGGGCAAGCGUUAUCCGGAUUUACUGGGUGUAAAGGGAGCGUAGACGGGGCGCCAAGUCUGGUGUGAAAUGCCGCAGCUUAACUGCGGAACUGCUUUGGUAACUGGCGAACUAGAGUGCUGUAGUGGUAAGCGGAAUUCCUGGUGUAGCGGUGAAAUGCGUAGAUAUUAGGAGGAACACCGGUGGCGAAGGCGGCUUACUGGACCGUAACUGACGUUGAGGCUCGAAAGCGUGGGGAGCAAACAGGAUUAGAUACCCGAGUAGUC